rnacentral:rRNA from 1 species
CAUAGGUUAAUGAGGCGAACCGGGGGAACUGAAACAUCUAAGUACCCCGAGGAAAAGAAAUCAACCGAGAUUCCCCCAGUAGCGGCGAGCGAACGGGGAGCAGCCCAGAGCCUGAAUCAGUGUGUGUGUUAGUGGAAGCGUCUGGAAAGGCGCGCGAUACAGGGUGACAGCCCCGUACACAAAAAUGCACAUACUGUGAGCUCGAUGAGUAGGGCGGGACACGUGGUAUCCUGUCUGAAUAUGGGGGGACCAUCCUCCAAGGCUAAAUACUCCUGACUGACCGAUAGUGAACCAGUACCGUGAGGGAAAGGCGAAAAGAACCCCGGCGAGGGGAGUGAAAAAGAACCUGAAACCGUGUACGUACAAGCAGUGGGAGCCUCUUUAUGGGGUGACUGCGUACCUUUUGUAUAAUGGGUCAGCGACUUAUAUUCUGUAGCAAGGUUAACCGAAUAGGGGAGCCGAAGGGAAACCGAGUCUUAACUGGGCGUUAAGUUGCAGGGUAUAGACCCGAAACCCGGUGAUCUAGCCAUGGGCAGGUUGAAGGUUGGGUAACACUAACUGGAGGACCGAACCGACUAAUGUUGAAAAAUUAGCGGAUGACUUGUGGCUGGGGGUGAAAGGCCAAUCAAACCGGGAGAUAGCUGGUUCUCCCCGAAAGCUAUUUAGGUAGCGCCUCGUGAAUUCAUCUCCGGGGGUAGAGCACUGUUUCGGCAAGGGGGUCAUCCCGACUUACCAACCCGAUGCAAACUGCGAAUACCGGAGAAUGUUAUCACGGGAGACACACGGCGGGUGCUAACGUCCGUCGUGAAGAGGGAAACAACCCAGACCGCCAGCUAAGGUCCCAAAGUCAUGGUUAAGUGGGAAACGAUGUGGGAAGGCCCAGACAGCCAGGAUGUUGGCUUAGAAGCAGCCAUCAUUUAAAGAAAGCGUAAUAGCUCACUGGUCGAGUCGGCCUGCGCGGAAGAUGUAACGGGGCUAAACCAUGCACCGAAGCUGCGGCAGCGACGCUUAUGCGUUGUUGGGUAGGGGAGCGUUCUGUAAGCCUGUGAAGGUGUACUGUGAGGUAUGCUGGAGGUAUCAGAAGUGCGAAUGCUGACAUAAGUAACGAUAAAGCGGGUGAAAAGCCCGCUCGCCGGAAGACCAAGGGUUCCUGUCCAACGUUAAUCGGGGCAGGGUGAGUCGACCCCUAAGGCGAGGCCGAAAGGCGUAGUCGAUGGGAAACAGGUUAAUAUUCCUGUACUUGGUGUUACUGCGAAGGGGGGACGGAGAAGGCUAUGUUGGCCGGGCGACGGUUGUCCCGGUUUAAGCGUGUAGGCUGGUUUUCCAGGCAAAUCCGGAAAAUCAAGGCUGAGGCGUGAUGACGAGGCACUACGGUGCUGAAGCAACAAAUGCCCUGCUUCCAGGAAAAGCCUCUAAGCAUCAGGUAACAUCAAAUCGUACCCCAAACCGACACAGGUGGUCAGGUAGAGAAUACCAAGGCGCUUGAGAGAACUCGGGUGAAGGAACUAGGCAAAAUGGUGCCGUAACUUCGGGAGAAGGCACGCUGAUAUGUAGGUGAAGUCCCUCGCGGAUGGAGCUGAAAUCAGUCGAAGAUACCAGCUGGCUGCAACUGUUUAUUAAAAACACAGCACUGUGCAAACACGAAAGUGGACGUAUACGGUGUGACGCCUGCCCGGUGCCGGAAGGUUAAUUGAUGGGGUUAGCGGUAACGCGAAGCUCUUGAUCGAAGCCCCGGUAAACGGCGGCCGUAACUAUAACGGUCCUAAGGUAGCGAAAUUCCUUGUCGGGUAAGUUCCGACCUGCACGAAUGGCGUAAUGAUGGCCAGGCUGUCUCCACCCGAGACUCAGUGAAAUUGAACUCGCUGUGAAGAUGCAGUGUACCCGCGGCAAGACGGAAAGACCCCGUGAACCUUUACUAUAGCUUGACACUGAACAUUGAGCCUUGAUGUGUAGGAUAGGUGGGAGGCUUUGAAGUGUGGACGCCAGUCUGCAUGGAGCCGACCUUGAAAUACCACCCUUUAAUGUUUGAUGUUCUAACGUUGGCCCCUGAUCGGGGUUGCGGACAGUGUCUGGUGGGUAGUUUGACUGGGGCGGUCUCCUCCUAAAGAGUAACGGAGGAGCACGAAGGUUGGCUAAUCCUGGUCGGACAUCAGGAGGUUAGUGCAAUGGCAUAAGCCAGCUUGACUGCGAGCGUGACGGCGCGAGCAGGUGCGAAAGCAGGUCAUAGUGAUCCGGUGGUUCUGAAUGGAAGGGCCAUCGCUCAACGGAUAAAAGGUACUCCGGGGAUAACAGGCUGAUACCGCCCAAGAGUUCAUAUCGACGGCGGUGUUUGGCACCUCGAUGUCGGCUCAUCACAUCCUGGGGCUGAAGUAGGUCCCAAGGGUAUGGCUGUUCGCCAUUUAAAGUGGUACGCGAGCUGGGUUUAGAACGUCGUGAGACAGUUCGGUCCCUAUCUGCCGUGGGCGCUGGAGAACUGAGGGGGGCUGCUCCUAGUACGAGAGGACCGGAGUGGACGCAUCACUGGUGUUCGGGUUGUCAUGCCAAUGGCACUGCCCGGUAGCUAAAUGCGGAAGAGAUAAGUGCUGAAAGCAUCUAAGCACGAAACUUGCCCCGAGAUGAGUUCUCCCUGACUCCUUGAGAGUCCUGAAGGAACGUUGAAGACGACGACGUUGAUAGGCCGGGUGUGUAAGCGCAGCGAUGCGUUGAGCUAACCGGUACUAAUGAACCGUGAGGCUUAACCUU